rnacentral:rRNA from 1 species
UAGCGUAUACUAAAGUUGUUGCGGUUAAAAAGCUCGUAGUUGGAUCUUGGAAUGUGUUCAAGCGGGUCAGCUUCUGGCUGUUCGCUGCUUGACGUGUUCUUCUAUUUGGUUUUGGUGCGGUGCGCUUAACUGCGUGUCGCUCCCGGCCGAAACGUUUACCUUGAAAAAAUUAGAGUGUUCAAAGCAGACCUGUUUGAGUCUGAAUAUUCGUGCAUGGAAUAAUGAAAUAUGAAUUCGGUUCUAUUUUGUUGGUUUUCGGAACUCGAGUUAAUGAUCAAGAGGGACAGACGGGGGCAUUCGUACUCUGCCGUUAGAGGUGAAAUUCUUGGAUCGGCGGAAGACGCGCAACUGCGAAAGCAUUUGCCAAGAAUGUUUUCUUUAAUCAAGAACGAUAGUCGGAGGUCCGAAGACGAUCAGAUACCGUCCUAGUUUCGACUGUAAACUAUGCCAGCUAACGAUCAGACAGAGUUCUCUACGACUUGUCUGGCAGUUUCCGGGAAACCAAAGCGUUUGGGUUCCGGGGGAAGUAUGGUUGCAAAGCUGAAACUUA